rnacentral:rRNA from 1 species
GAUCAUGGCUCAGGACGAACGCUGGCGGCGCGCCUAACACAUGCAAGUCGAACGGAGUCAAGAGGAGCUUGCUUUUCUUGACUUAGUGGCGAACGGGUGAGUAACGCGUGAGUAACCUGCCCUGGAGUGGGGGACAACAGUUGGAAACGACUGCUAAUACCGCAUAAGCCCACGGCCCGACAUCGGGCUGCGGGAAAAGGAUUUAUUCGCUUCAGGAUGGACUCGCGUCCAAUUAGCUAGUUGGUGAGG